rnacentral:rRNA from 1 species
UGGGGAAUUUUGCGCAAUGGGCGAAAGCCUGACGCAGCAACGCCGCGUGGAGGAUGAAGGCCUUCGGGUCGUAAACUCCUGUCAGGGGGGACGAAACGCCCAGCAAUGGGCAUUGACUGUACCCUCUGAGGAAGCCACGGCUAACUCCGUGCCAGCAGCCGCGGUAAUACGGAGGUGGCAAGCGUUGUUCGGAAUUACUGGGCGUAAAGGGCGCGUAGGCGGCAAGGCAAGUCAGGUGUGAAAGCCCCGAGCUUAACUCGGGAAUUGCAUCUGAAACUGCUGUGCUUGAGUUCUGGAGGGGGUAGUGGAAUUCCCAGUGUAGCGGUGAAAUGCGUAGAUAUUGGGAGGAACACCUGCGGCGAAGGCGGCUACCUGGACAGAAACUGACGCUGAGGCGCGAAAGCUAGGGGAGCGAACGG